UUAAGCGACUAAGCGUACACGGUGGAUGCCCUGGCAGUCAGAGGCGAUGAAGGACGUGCUAAUCUGCGAUAAGCGCCGGUAAGGUGAUAUGAACCGUUAUAACCGGCGAUUUCCGAAUGGGGAAACCCAGUGUGAUUCGUCACACUAUCAUUAACUGAAUCCAUAGGUUAAUGAGGCGAACCGGGGGAACUGAAACAUCUAAGUACCCCGAGGAAAAGAAAUCAACCGAGAUUCCCCCAGUAGCGGCGAGCGAACGGGGAGGAGCCCAGAGCCUGAAUCAGCAUGUGUGUUAGUGGAAGCGUCUGGAAAGGCGCGCGAUACAGGGUGACAGCCCCGUACACAAAAGCGCAUGUGCUGUGAGCUCGAUGAGUAGGGCGGGACACGUGGUAUCCUGUCUGAAUAUGGGGGGACCAUCCUCCAAGGCUAAAUACUCCUGACUGACCGAUAGUGAACCAGUACCGUGAGGGAAAGGCGAAAAGAACCCCGGCGAGGGGAGUGAAAAAGAACCUGAAACCGUGUACGUACAAGCAGUGGGAGCCCCACCACCAAAGCAUUCUCUGGUGUUGAAGGCCCUGCAAAGCAGCAUCGCGGUGGCGGAGCGUCGUUUGCGACGCCCAACACACAAAACAAGCGGUGAGUGCUUUGGGGUGGGGUGACUGCGUACCUUUUGUAUAAUGGGUCAGCGACUUAUAUUCUGUAGCAAGGUUAACCGAAUAGGGGAGCCGUAGGGAAACCGAGUCUUAACCGGGCGUUAAGUUGCAGGGUAUAGACCCGAAACCCGGUGAUCUAGCCAUGGGCAGGUUGAAGGUUGGGUAACACUAACUGGAGGACCGAACCGACUAAUGUUGAAAAAUUAGCGGAUGACCUGUGGCUGGGGGUGAAAGGCCAAUCAAACCGGGAGAUAGCUGGUUCUCCCCGAAAGCUAUUUAGGUAGCGCCUCGUGAAUUCAUCUCCGGGGGUAGAGCACUGUUUCGGCUAGGGGGCCAUCCCGGCUUACCAACCCGAUGCAAACUGCGAAUACCGGAGAAUGUUAUCACGGGAGACACACGGCGGGUGCUAACGUCCGUCGUGAAGAGGGAAACAACCCAGACCGCCAGCUAAGGUCCCAAAGUCAUGGUUAAGUGGGAAACGAUGUGGGAAGGCCCAGACAGCCAGGAUGUUGGCUUAGAAGCAGCCAUCAUUUAAAGAAAGCGUAAUAGCUCACUGGUCGAGUCGGCCUGCGCGGAAGAUGUAACGGGGCUAAACCAUGCACCGAAGCUGCGGCAGCGACGCUGAUGCGUUGUUGGGUAGGGGAGCGUUCUGUAAGCCUGUGAAGGUGGCCUGUGAGGGUUGCUGGAGGUAUCAGAAGUGCGAAUGCUGACAUAAGUAACGAUAAAGCGGGUGAAAAGCCCGCUCGCCGGAAGACCAAGGGUUCCUGUCCAACGUUAAUCGGGGCAGGGUGAGUCGACCCCUAAGGCGAGGCCGAAAGGCGUAGUCGAUGGGAAACGGGUUAAUAUUCCCGUACUUGGUGUUACUGCGAAGGGGGGACGGAGAAGGCUAUGUUGGCCGGGCGACGGUUGUCCCGGUUUAAGCGUGUAGGUGUGUGUUCCAGGUAAAUCCGGUUCACUUUAACACUGAGGCGUGAUGACGAGGCACUACGGUGCUGAAGCAACAAAUGCCCUGCUUCCAGGAAAAGCCUCUAAGCAUCAGGUAACAUCAAAUCGUACCCCAAACCGACACAGGUGGUCAGGUAGAGAAUACCAAGGCGCUUGAGAGAACUCGGGUGAAGGAACUAGGCAAAAUGGUGCCGUAACUUCGGGAGAAGGCACGCUGACACGUAGGUGAAGUGAUUUACUCAUGGAGCUGAAGUCAGUCGAAGAUACCAGCUGGCUGCAACUGUUUAUUAAAAACACAGCACUGUGCAAACACGAAAGUGGACGUAUACGGUGUGACGCCUGCCCGGUGCCGGAAGGUUAAUUGAUGGGGUCAGCGCAAGCGAAGCUCCUGAUCGAAGCCCCGGUAAACGGCGGCCGUAACUAUAACGGUCCUAAGGUAGCGAAAUUCCUUGUCGGGUAAGUUCCGACCUGCACGAAUGGCGUAAUGAUGGCCAGGCUGUCUCCACCCGAGACUCAGUGAAAUUGAACUCGCUGUGAAGAUGCAGUGUACCCGCGGCAAGACGGAAAGACCCCGUGAACCUUUACUAUAGCUUGACACUGAACAUUGAGCCUUGAUGUGUAGGAUAGGUGGGAGGCUUUGAAGCGUGGACGCCAGUCUGCAUGGAGCCGGCCUUGAAAUACCACCCUUUAAUGUUUGAUGUUCUAACGUGGACCCGUGAUCCGGGUUGCGGACAGUGUCUGGUGGGUAGUUUGACUGGGGCGGUCUCCUCCUAAAGAGUAACGGAGGAGCACGAAGGUUGGCUAAUCCUGGUCGGACAUCAGGAGGUUAGUGCAAUGGCAUAAGCCAGCUUGACUGCGAGCGUGACGGCGCGAGCAGGUGCGAAAGCAGGUCAUAGUGAUCCGGUGGUUCUGAAUGGAAGGGCCAUCGCUCAACGGAUAAAAGGUACUCCGGGGAUAACAGGCUGAUACCGCCCAAGAGUUCAUAUCGACGGCGGUGUUUGGCACCUCGAUGUCGGCUCAUCACAUCCUGGGGCUGAAGUAGGUCCCAAGGGUAUGGCUGUUCGCCAUUUAAAGUGGUACGCGAGCUGGGUUUAGAACGUCGUGAGACAGUUCGGUCCCUAUCUGCCGUGGGCGCUGGAGAACUGAGGGGGGCUGCUCCUAGUACGAGAGGACCGGAGUGGACGCAUCACUGGUGUUCGGGUUGUCAUGCCAAUGGCACUGCCCGGUAGCUAAAUGCGGAAGAGAUAAGUGCUGAAAGCAUCUAAGCACGAAACUUGCCCCGAGAUGAGUUCUCCCUGAGACUUAGAGUCUCCUGAAGGAACGUUGAAGACGACGACGUUGAUAGGCCGGGUGUGUAAGCGCAGCGAUGCGUUGAGCUAACCGGUACUAAUGAACCGUGAGGCUUAACCUU
rnacentral:rRNA from 1 species